AGCCCCACACACACUCGUGUGUCUGAGUGGGGGCACAGGAGGGCUCCAGUGGGCCGGACAGGGUCUAGGUCUCCUCCCUGUCCUCCUCCUCCUCCUCCUCCCCCCACUGGCUCCGCACGUUGCGGUUCUGCUGGCAGCUGAACUUCUGGGCCUUGCGGCUGUGGGGCGGAGAGAGAGCCGGGGUGAGCGAGGGGCCGGGCCGCCAGCACCGGCCCGCCGGACAGACGCGCGCAGACUGACCAGUAGAGGCGCCUCUCCGCCUUGGCCAUGCCGUGCCACAUACGCGCCAGCUCCUUGGUGGCCACGGUGGAGGGGGUCCCGGGGUGAGCUCUGGGGGGACACACGCAGGCCGGGUCAGCAAGGCGGCAGGCGGGAAGGAGCCGGAGGGCUGGCCCACCUGCGCACACUCACACACACCCGCGCACAAUCACGUGCACACCCGCGCACAAUCACGCACACACCCUUGCACACCCGUGCACACUCACCGCAUGUAGGACUUCCUGUUGAGGCGGCAGAACAUGAUGAAGCCGUUGACGCACUUCCUCUUCAGGUGGCGCAGCUCGCCCGGCGCCCCCCUGUGCCUGUGCUGGCCCCGGCCUCCGCGGCCGCCCUGCGCCGGGCCUCUCUGGGACGGGGUCCAGGUAAGAUCUGCGCCUUCCUCCUCCUCCUCGCUCUGGGAGGACAGCCAGCCACCGACCCCCGUCGCCUCGCCGCUGUCCUGCACCUGGGACACAGGGCCAGGGAGAAGGCCUGGAAUCACACGGUAGCAGCUCGGGCUGGGCUUCCUGCUGCUGCCCCUGUCCGGAGUCCAGGGCGUCACAUCUGCAGCUCUCUGGACCCUGGACACUGUCCACGGCUCGAGCCCCAGACGCCCACCAGCCCUGUGCUCCUGCCCAGGGAACAGACUCCCCCUCCCCCCCAGACCGGGGGGCCGUACCAAGUCCCUGCUGGGGUCUCCAGUUCGCAUGGGCGGCUCCGAGCUGAUCCACACGUCUUCGAACAGAGCUGUGGACAAGAUGAACACAGACAGGAGACGAGUUCUCACGUUCGUAAGAAGGGAGAAUUUGCCUGGAACAGCUGGAUCGGGACACCAUGCCCUGGGCACAGCCAACACACUUGAUACUAUCAGCAGAACAAACUGCUCCAACAGCUGGACCAAGGGACAGAUGACCACACUCCUUCCACGCUCAGGGUCCAGUCCCGAGCCCAGGGAACAGGGGUGAUCCUGGACUAGCGCGGGGUGUGUCUGGUGAGGGCUCAGCCCUGCUUAACUGACUCCUGACGGGUUUGUGAACAAGGGAGAGCGGUAAUGAAUACAGACACUAAUUGAAUGAAUAAUUUAGAUUAUUCUAGCCUGUUGAUCAUGUUGCUCUUUGACAGAUUCAGUCUCAGCGCAGGCUGUUGGCAUCGAAGGUAUAUUUUGUCUCUGAUGUGAGAAGUGGAGAACAGCAGGAAACAGUACAGAGUAGGCAGGGCUGUCACCAGUGAAGAAUAACAGAGGUCAGCACUGGGAUCUCCACUCUUCAAACCCGAGCUCUAGACUCUAGGAUAGUCAGCCAGUCAGGUUUGCAGACAAACCCAAAAGAGGAAACACUCCUGAGGCAAAAAACUAAAUUUAAAUCCCCUUACAUUACAUUCAGGAUUGUGUUCCAUGCAUGGAGCAAAAAACGCGGAGCUGGAGGAGGCUGACCGGGCCUUACUAACUUAAAACAAGGGGUGAUUUGUUACAAUUGCAUGAGGCAUGAGGCACAAGUAGAGCCUCAUUCAGAAAAUGUUGUACAGUACUGGCUUUUAACUCACAAUAAAGAUACUGCUGCUCUGGAACCAGGACAGAGAGAGGCCCCCAGAUGCAGCAAGGGAUGUGCUCCACUGACAGACUGGGCAAUUGUUUUCUUUCCUAAACCAGAGGACACAAGUUCAAAUCAUGCAAAAGUGCAUUUCUAACUGAGAAUAGGAGGCACUUCUUUACACAGAGGGAUGUGGGUGUGUGGAACAAGUCAUGACACUUGUUGUCAUCCUGGCCUCUAUCAAGGAAAUUGAUGGACAGUUUGGUCCUGAGAUUUUAGCAAAGUGCUGAGACCCCUCUUUCACCUUUGACUAAGACCCAGUGAAGACACUGGACGUAGUGGUUAGAAACAAACAGUAUGAGCACUUUCAUCAGGCGUCCUACCAGCAGAGGGAGCUGUCCUCCAGGAAGGCAGACUGAGGCUCAGCUCUGAGUCCAGGGAGCUGCUGCUGUCCUGUGCUGUCCUGUCCUGUGCCUGGAUUGUCCCUGACUGGAACGCCGGCCACUCCGGGCGCUCAUCCCACAGGGCCAGUGACCCCAAUCGGGUGUUGGGGUGUCCGUCUCUGAGGUCACUCUGCGCCCCAUACAGCCUGCGCCUCUUCUCCGGCACGUCCUCACACAGCUCUGUCAGAGCAGCACAGAGCAUAGCACAGUGUUGCUUUGAGCGCAUGAGCAGCUCUCCCACACUGACUGAUCUAGACACAGCACAGCUCCUCACUGCCUGAUCUAGACACAGCACAGCUCCUCAUACUGACUGAUCUAGACACAGCACAGCUCCUCACACUGCCUGGUCUAGACACAGCACAGCUCCUCACACUGCCUGGUUUAGACACAGCACAGCUCCUCACUGACUGAUCUAGACACAGCACAGCUCCUCACUGCCUGAUCUAGACACAGCACAGCUCCUCACUG
rnacentral:lncRNA from 1 species